GGGGGAUAUUGCGCAAUGGGGGCAACCCUGACGCAGCAACGCCGCGUGAAGGAUGAAGGUUUUCGGAUUGUAAACUUCUUUUAUUAAGGACGAAAAAUGACGGUACUUAAUGAAUAAGCUCCGGCUAACUACGUGCCAGCAGCCGCGGUAAUACGUAGGGAGCAAGCGUUGUCCGGAUUUACUGGGUGUAAAGGGUGCGUAGGCGGCUUUGCAAGUCAGAUGUGAAAUCUAUGGGCUCAACCCAUAAACUGCAUUUGAAACUGUAGAGCUUGAGUGAAGUAGAGGCAGGCGGAAUUCCCCGUGUAGCGGUGAAAUGCGUAGAGAUGGGGAGGAACACCAGUGGCGAAGGCGGCCUGCUGGGCUUUAACUGACGCUGAGGCACGAAAGCGUGGGUAGCAAACAGGAUUAGAUACCCUGGUAGUCCACGCUGUAAACGAUGAUUACUAGGUGUGGGGGGUCUGACCCCUUCCGUGCCGGAGUUAACACAAUAAGUAAUCCACCUGGGGAGUACGGCCGCAAGGUUGAAACUCAAAGGAAUUGACGGGGGCCCGCACAAGCAGUGGAGUAUGUGGUUUAAUUCGAAGCAACGCGAAGAACCUUACCAGGUCUCGACAUCCAACUAACGAAGUAGAGAUACAUUAGGUGCCCUUCGGGGAAAGUUGAGACAGGUGGUGCAUGGUUGUCGUCAGCUCGUGUCGUGAGAUGUUGGGUUAAGUCCCGCAACGAGCGCAACCCUUGCUAUUAGUUGCUACGCAAGAGCACUCUAAUAGGACUGCCGUUGACAAAACGGAGGAAGGUGGGGACGACGUCAAAUCAUCAUGCCCCUUAUGACCUGGGCUACACACGUACUACAAUGGAUGUUAACAGAGGGAAGCAAGACAGCGAUGUGGAGCAAACCCCUAAAAACAUUCUCAGUUCAGAUUGCAGGCUGCAACCCGCCUGCAUGAAGAUGGAAUUGCUAGUAAUCGUGGAUCAGCAUGCCGCGGUGAAUACGUUCCCG
rnacentral:rRNA from 1 species